rnacentral:rRNA from 1 species
CCUACGGGAGGCAGCAGUGGGGAAUAUUGGACAAUGGGCGCAAGCCUGAUCCAGCCAUGCCGCGUGAGUGAUGAAGGCCUUCGGGUUGUAAAGCUCUUUCACCGGGGAAGAUAAUGACGGUAUCCGGAGAAUAAGCCCCGGCUAACUUCGUGCCAGCAGCCGCGGUAAUAC